UACGUAGGGUGCAAGCGUUAAUCGGAAUUACUGGGCGUAAAGCGUGCGCAGGCGGUUGUGUAAGACAGAUGUGAAAGCCCCGGGCUUAACCUGGGAAUGGCAUUUGGGACUGCAAGGCUGGAGUGUGGCAGAGGAGACUGGAAUUCCUGGUGUAGCAGUGAAAUGCGUAGAUAUCAGGAGGAAUACCGAUGGCGAAGGCAGGUCUCUGGGCUGACACUGACGCUCAUGCACGAAAGCGUGGGGAGCAAACAGG
rnacentral:rRNA from 1 species